UACGUAGGGUGCGAGCGUUAAUCGGAAUUACUGGGCGUAAAGCGUGCGCAGGCGGUCUGUUAAGACCGAUGUGAAAUCCCCGGGCUUAACCUGGGAACUGCAUUGGUGACUGGCAGGCUUUGAGUGUGGCAGAGAGAGGUAGAAUUCCACGUAUAGCAGUGAAAUGCGUAGAGAUGUGAAGGAAUACCGAUGGCGAAGGCAGCCUCCUGGGCCAACACUGACGCUCAUGCACGAAAGCGUGGGGAGCAAACAGG
rnacentral:rRNA from 1 species